rnacentral:rRNA from 1 species
AUUGAACGCUGGCGGCAGGCCUAACACAUGCAAGUCGAGCGAGCGGCGGACGGGUGAGUAAUGAAUGGGGCCUGCCCGCUAGAGGGGGAUAACUACUGGAAACGGUUGCUAAUACCGCAUACUAUCGGAUAACCCAUAUGGGUUUAGCUAGUAGGUGGGGUAAAGGCUCACCUAGGCGACGAUCUCUAGCUGGUCUGAGAGGCUGAUCAGCAACACGGGGACGGAGACACGGCCCAGACCCAUACGGAGGGAGCAGGGGGGAAUAUGGCACAUUGGGCGCAGGCCUGAGGCAGCCAGGCCGCGUGUAUGAAGAAGGCCUUAGGGUUGUAAAGUACUUUCAGCGGGGAGGCGUUACCGGAGGAAGAAGCACCGGCUAAUUCCGUGCCAGCGGCCGCGGUAAUA